GGCAGACGGCAGGGACGCAGCUGCCUCCUUGUGUCCUUGUGCACGGCUCCCUGCGAACCCUCUGCUGGAUGCGGCACCCUGGGGGGAGAAGCGUGGUGGUGAAGGCGCAGUAAGCGUCGUGACACGUGUCCCCCGGGAGGCCACCUCCUGAGCUGAUGUCUGCAUGCAUGGCUGUAUCGGUCUCCUGGGACGGCCGUGACGAAGUGCCACAAUCUGGGUGGCUGAGGACAACAGAACUUACUGUCUCAGCUCUACAGGCCAGAGUGUGAGGUCAAGGCGCCAGCCGGGCCGUGCUGCCUCUGAAGCCUCCCUCUCUCCAGCUUCUCACGGCGCCGGCCAUCCUUGGCACCCCUUGGCUUGUGGCCACAGGGCUCCAGCCUCGGCUCUGCUGACACAGGUGUGGUCCUCUGUGUCUCUGUGUUUUUUUUUUUUUUAAUAAUUAAAAAAAAAUUACUUUGGG